AAAAAAAAGAAACAAAAACAUGAAAGAUCAAUUAAUGAUAGUUCACCCUGGAAUAAAAAGGAUUGCCUAUUCAUAUUUUAAGAUUACUAGUUUUUUUUUCUUUUUUACUCUAUGUGGGCCCGAUGAGUUUUUUGUGCAUUUUGUACACUUUGUUUACAUUUUCUUUCUACACUAGGACAUAUUCAUUCGUUUGUGGGGAACCUCUUUAUUGGAUUGCUAUAUGGUGACAUGUGUGGUUCCAUUCUGCUUACCCAUAUGCUACAUUGGAACAAUGAAUGUAGCUUAGCAGUGCUUAUCAUUUAUGGAACUACUCUAUUAGACUCUUGGGCGAAACACUG